rnacentral:snoRNA from 1 species
AUCCUUUUGGGUCAUAAGCCUGAUGAUUGGGUGUUUAUGCUAUUGUGUGUGAUAUGCCUUCCAGUAAACCUUGUUACAACAUUGGCACAUUACCCAUCUAA